AGCGAACGCUGGCGGCAGGCCUAACACAUGCAAGUCGAACGGACCUUUCGGGGUUAGUGGCGGACGGGUGAGUAACACGUGGGAACGUGCCUUUUGGUUCGGAAUAGCUCCUGGAAACGGGUGGUAAUGCCGAAUGGUGCCCUUUGGGGGAAAGAUUUAUCGCCAUUAGAGCGGCCCGCGGUCUGAUUAGCUAGUUGGUG
rnacentral:rRNA from 1 species